rnacentral:tRNA from 1 species
GGGCGUGUACCCAAGUGGCCAAAGGGGGCAGACUGUAAAUCUGCUGGCGUUCGCCUUCGCUGGUUCGAAUCCAGCCGCGCCCA